GACGAACGCUGGCGGCGUGCUUAACACAUGCAAGUCGAACGGAAAGGCCUCUUUCGGGGGGUACUCGAGUGGCGAACGGGUGAGUAACACGUGAGUAACCUGCCCUUGACUUUGGGAUAACUUCAUGAAACUGGGGCUAAUACCGGAUAGGAGCUCCUGCUUCCUGGUGGGGGUUGGAAAGUUUCGGCGGUUGGGGAUGGACUCGCGGCUUAUCAGCUUGUUUGUGGGGUAGUGGCUUACCAAGGCUUUGACGGGUAGCCGGACUGAGAGGGUGACCGGCCACAUUGGGACUGAGAUACGGCCCAGACUCCUACGGGAGGCAGCAGGGGGGAAUAUUGCACAAUGGGCGGAAGCCUGAUGCAGCAACGCCGUGUGCGGGAUGACGGGCUUCGGGUUGUAAACCGCUUUCGCUCAUGACGAAGCUUUGUGUGACGGUAGUGGGUAAAGAAGCACCGGCUAACUACGUG
rnacentral:rRNA from 1 species